CUCAGCGAUAAGGUAGCAAAAAGCACCUGAUGAGUGAUUAUAGUUAUCUGCAUACCAGUCCAGAGACUUAUGUAUAUAUAAUUCACAAAUAGACUGUAUAAAGAUAUCAUAUCUGCUUCUGGAUUACUCGUUUGCGAACCUGAGGGCACUCAAGAAAUAUUUAUAGCAGCCAUUAAAAGUAUUGAGAGCGAUAUCAAGAUUUGCGAUAGCUGCUGGGAUAUUGAGAAGGUCAAGUAAAUUGAUUUUUAAAGCUCUUUAUUCACUGCGCUCAUUAAAAUUAAGAUUGGUACCAUA